UAAGAUUACUAGAAGGUACUGUAUAAGGGAAGCUGAUGGUGAUGAAUUUCUCUGCAAAAUCCGACAGCUUGGACCCUGGUCAAAGAUCAAUCACCAAUUUCAGAGAGAGGUGGACGCAGAUUGGAGAUAGGAAGCAGAUGGAAAAGAGAGAGAUGAAAUGGAAGGGAAAACCAAAAAAAGAGAGAAAUAAAGGAAAAAUGGUGAAUAAGAGGGCUGACGUGGAGUGUUGAGUGGGUAAUAAAAGAAUUUAUAAUUGAAAGUUGCCAAAUGUAAAAUAGGUGGUAUUCUAACUGAUCAGAGUGCUUGACUGCGGACAAAGGUCUUCUAUUGUUACAUAAUUGGAGAUCGAAUAUUUUUAAGUUACAAA